AAGCCAGACAAUUAAUUUGUCUCUAACAAUGUUUCUGUAGAAAUUUAGAAAAAGAUGGCAAUGGUAAUGCAGUAUUACAAGUCCUGAGGACAACAGUCAUUAGGUCCCUGAAAAUGGCUACAAUA
ensembl:snoRNA